AGUGUGACAUACCCGUUUCGGUGUUAAACUCUGAUGUUAAUUUAUUAUUUAAUUGCUUUGGGAUAACGGGGUGUUACAAAAAC
rnacentral:pre_miRNA from 1 species